AUUGAAUUUUAUAACAAUGGCUUUAGUGGCGGACUGGUGAGUAACGCGUAAGGAACCUACAUAUUAGAGGGGAACAACAAUGAGAAAUCAUUGCUAAUACCGCAUAUGCCAUAACUACCGCAUGGUAGAAGUGGGAAAGGAGCAAUCCGCUGAUAGAUGGCCUUGCGUCUGAUUAGUUAGUUGGUGGGGUAACGGCUCACCAAGUCGACGAUCGGUAGCCGGACUGAGAGGUUGAACGGCCACAUUGGGACUGAGACACGGCCCAGACUCC
rnacentral:rRNA from 1 species